AGUGAACGCUGGCGGUAGGCCUAACACAUGCAAGUCGAUCGGCAGCACAGUAAGAGCUUGCUCUUACGGGUGGCGAGUGGCGGACGGGUGAGGAAUACAUCGGAAUCUACUUUUUCGUGGGGGAUAACGUAGGGAAACUUACGCUAAUACCGCAUACGACCUACGGGUGAAAGCAGGGGAUCUUCGGACCUUGCGCGAUUGAAUGAGCCGAUGUCGGAUUAGCUAGUUGGCGGGGUAAAGGCCCACCAAGGCGACGAUCCGUAGCUGGUCUGAGAGGAUGAUCAGCCACACUGGAACUGAGACACGGUCCAGACUCCUACGGGAGGCAGCAGUGGGGAAUAUUGGACAAUGGGCGCAAGCCUGAUCCAGCCAUACCGCGUGGGUGAAGAAGGCCUUCGGGCUGUAAAGCCCUUUUGUUGGGAAAGAAAAGCAGCAGGUUAAUACCCCGCUGUUCUGACGGUACCCAAAGAAUAAGCACCGGCUAACUUCGUG
rnacentral:rRNA from 1 species